UACGUAGGGUGCGAGCGUUAAUCGGAAUUACUGGGCGUAAAGCGUGCGCAGGCGGUUUUGUAAGCCAGAUGUGAAAUCCCCGGGCUCAACCUGGGAAUGGCAUUUGGGACUGCAAGGCUGGAGUGUGGCAGAGGAGACUGGAAUUCCUGGUGUAGCAGUGAAAUGCGUAGAUAUCAGGAGGAACACCUGUGGUGUAGACAGCUUACUGGACCACUUCUGACGCUGAGACACGAAAGCGUGGGUAGCAAACAGG
rnacentral:rRNA from 1 species